UACCCAAGGUAAUUGAAAAAUUUGUCAAUACAAAACGAAUGCUUUAUAAACACAAAAGAAAACAUGUCAGAUUAGAGAAAGAGUCGUACGCUCUCAUUGCUGAAAGCUUUUUAUCCUUAACACUUUACUGGAAUUUGUUAGUCCCGUUGACUAUGUGGUUGUUAGAUACAGAUUAGGUAAAUUCAUUUAUUGUGGUAUUAAGCAAGGAGCGGAAGAAAGUACGUACUUUUUUACAUUGUUAAAAGUUUUAUUUGACGAAAUUACAACACUUAAUAAGUAUCUAAGUAUGCGAUCGAGCUGAUUCAAUUUGAUAUCUCUCAAUUAGAAAGUUGCGUAUUACCUCACAACUACGAUGUACCGUACAAUUCACAAUCUUCCUGGCUAUGCAACUGUUUGCUAUCAACUAGUCGCUUAGAUAACCUUCUUUAACCCCAUUCACUAGACACACUUUCCCCAUACCCAGAAAGAUGACACGAAGAACAGUGUAACGCAUCAACUAGGUUAAUUUGCUUAAGGUCGCACAAACAAUUACCUAAAGAAAAACUUGCGCGUUUACUAUAUUUGUACUACUUAUAAAUAUCACGAUACGAUUCGGGUUUAAUGAACAUUAUAUUAAUCAUUUCAUUCAAUAAAUGUAUUAAUCACAAAUCCACGAAGAAAAAUUCAUCUUCUUGUCAGAUGGAGUAUUCAGCCGUGAUACAACGCGAUAUGAAAAAUUUCUCACAAAGACCAAACGCCUUUUUGUCUAUGAAUUGCACUAGCAAAUUGAUAAUGCUUCUUCUGAUAUCGCCCAGAUGAAAAACAUUCUCGUUUGGCAUGUAUAUAUAGAAUAGUUAUAGUGUACACAUAAAAUUGAUAGACUCGAAACAAAAAAUUCGGAGUCGGCAAUUGAUAUCGAAUUUAACCACCGAAACCAUAAAUGGUACGGCCUUGACGCUUCAAAGAGUAGACAACAUCCAAAGAUGUAACAGUCUUACGCUUGGCAUGCUCAGUAUAGGUGACAGCAUCACGAAUAACAUUUUCCAAGAAGAGCUUGAGGACAGCACGAGUCUCUUCGUAAACUAAAGCGGAAAUACGCUUAACACCACCACGACGAGCAAGACGACGAAUGGCAGGCUUAGUAAUACCUUGAAUAUUGUCACGAAGGAUCUUACGGUGACGCUUGGCACCACCCUUUCCUAAACCUUUUCCACCUUUACCACGGCCAGACAUAUUGCACUAUUAAUAUUAACGAAAUAGAGUUACUACUAUAAACAGUGCUUCUAUUGCUAGUAGGGUAUGCGGCAUUUCACAAUAUAUAUUAAUGCGCCGUCCCUAUUAACUUACGUCAAUUUAAUUAAAGGGUUAGGGUUGUGAUCAAAGUUGGAUGUAGGGACAUAU